rnacentral:rRNA from 1 species
AUGUUGGUCGCCAACAAGGCACUCCGGUGCUCCUUCAUCGUUAGAGGAUUGGGUUCCUUCCCCGUCCAGCGACGGACAAGUGAAGUGCCUGAGUCAAAUUCAGAUGUCUCGUCUACUCUGUGGAUUGCAAGGUCAUAUCCAUGUGCUGGAGACAAUGGGUUUAAGAAAGCCCCCGUCUUGCUGCUGCUCAAGCAAACAGUGCGCCUGCCGGAGCUGUUGGAAGAGCACCUGACCAAGCCCGUUCUCCCUUCUCUAUUCUUCUUUGUCUUUUUUGUGUGUAUUUUGCUCUUUGUUUUGAUUUGUAUGGUUCUGAAUUAA